GAUGAACGCUGGCGGCGUGCCUAAUACAUGCAAGUCGAGCGAACGGACGAGAAGCUUGCUUCUCUGAUGUUAGCGGCGGACGGGUGAGUAACACGUGGAUAAACUACCUAUAAGACUGGGAUAACUUCGGGAAACCGUAGCUAAUACCGGAUAAUAUUUUGAACCGCAUGGUUCAAAAGUGAAAGAAGGUCUUGCUGUCACUUAUAGAUGGACCCGCGCUGCAUUAGCUAGUUGGUAAGGUAACGGCUUACCAAGGCAACGAUGCAUAGCCGACCUGAGAGGGUGAUCGGCCACAGUGGAACUGAGAGACGGUCCAGACUCCGACGGAAGACAGCAGGAGGAAAUCUGCCGCAAGGGGCGAAAGCCUGACGGAGCAACGCCGCGUGAGUGAGGAAGAGCUGCGGAUCGUAAAACGCUGUUAUUAGGGAAGAACAUAUGUGUAAGUCACUGUGCGCAUCUGGACGGAACCUAAUCAGAAAGCCAGGGCAAAUUACGG
rnacentral:rRNA from 1 species